UACGAAGGGGGCUAGCGUUGCUCGGAAUUACUGGGCGUAAAGGGCGCGUAGGCGGAUAGUUUAGUCAGAGGUGAAAGCCCAGGGCUCAACCUUGGAACUGCCUUUGAUACUGGCUAUCUUGAGUUCGGGAGAGGUGAGUGGAAUGCCGAGUGUAGAGGUGAAAUUCGUAGAUAUUCGGAAGAACACCAGUGGCGAAGGCGACUUACUGGACACAUAUUGACGCUGAGGUGCGAAAGCGUGGGGAGCAAACAGG
rnacentral:rRNA from 1 species